rnacentral:rRNA from 1 species
CUGGACCUCGGAUCAGGCCAGGCUACCCGCUGAAUUUAAGCAUAUUAAUAAGCGGAGGAAAAGAAACUAACAAGGAUUCCCCCAGUAACGGCGAGCGAAGCGGGAACAGCUCAAAUUUGAAAUCUCCGGUGCCUGCACCGGCGAAUUGUAGUCUGUAGGGCCAGUUUCGCCCGAGACAGCGUCCCCAAAGUCGUCCUGGAAAGGCGAGCCGGAGAGGGUGAGAGCCCCGUACGCGGGGGCGCUGUCGAGGGUAAGAUCUGUGCCCGAAGAGUCGGGUUGUUUGGGAUUGCAGCCCAAAAUGGGUGGUAAACUCCAUCUAAAGCUAAAUACCGGCACGAGACCGAUAGCG